rnacentral:rRNA from 1 species
UACGAAGGGGGCUAGCGUUGCUCGGAAUCACUGGGCGUAAAGGGUGCGUAGGCGGGUCUUUAAGUCAGGGGUGAAAUCCUGGAGCUCAACUCCAGAACUGCCUUUGAUACUGAGGAUCUUGAGUAUGGGAGAGGUGAGUGGAACUGCGAGUGUAGAGGUGAAAUUCGUAGAUAUUCGCAAGAACACCAGUGGCGAGGGCGGCUCACUGGCCCGGUACUGACGCUGAGGUGCGAAAGCGUGGGGAGCAAACAGG